rnacentral:rRNA from 1 species
AACGAACGCUGGCGGCAGGCCUAACACAUGCAAGUCGAGCGAGAACGGAUUAUAGCUUGCUAUAAUUGUCAGCUAAGUGGCGCACGGGUGAGUAAUGUAUAGGUAAUAUGCCUCUUACUAAGGGAUAACAAAUGGAAACGUUUGCUAAUACCUUAUACUCCUUAUUAACAUAAGUUAAUAAGGGAAAGAUUUAUUGGUAAGAGAUUAGCCUGUAUUGUAUCAGUUAGUUGGUGGGGUAAUGGCUUACCAAGACUAUGACACAUAACUGGUUUGAGAGGAUGAUCAGUCACACUGGAACUGAGACACGGUCCAGACUCCUACGGGAGGCAGCAGUGGGGAAUAUUGCACAAUGGACGAAAGUCUGAUGCAGCAACGCCGCGUGGAGGAUGACACAUUUCGGUGCGUAAACUCCUUUUAUAUGAGAAGAUAAUGACGGUAUUAUAUGAAUAAGUACCGGCUAACUCCGUGCCAGCAGCCGCCGUAAAAC